rnacentral:rRNA from 1 species
UACGGAGGAUCCAAGCGCUAUCCGGAUUUAUUGGGUUUAAAGGGUGCGUAGGCGGCUUAUUAAGUCAGGGGUGAAAGACGGUGGCUCAACCAUCGCAGUGCCCUUGAUACUGAUGAGCUUGAAUACACUUGAGGUAGGCGGAAUGUGACAAGUAGCGGUGAAAUGCAUAGAUAUGUCACAGAACACCAAUUGCGAAGGCCGCUUACUAAGGUGCAAUUGACGCUGAGGCACGAAAGCGUGGGGAUCAAACAGG